rnacentral:rRNA from 1 species
UGGUGGCGACCGGCGCACGGGUGAGUAACGCGUAUGCAACCUACCUAUCAGAGGGGAAUAACCCGGCGAAAGUCGGACUAAUACCGCAUAAAACAGGGACACCGCAUGGUGAUAUUUGUUAAAGAAAUUCGCUGAUAGAUGGGCAUGCGUUCCAUUAGGUAGUUGGUGAGGUAACGGCUCACCAAGCCGACGAUGGAUAGGGGAACUGAGAGGUUGGUCCCCCACACUGGUACUGAGACACGGACCAGACUCCUACGGGAGGCAGCAGUGAGGAAUAUUGGUCAAUGGGCGAGAGCCUGAACCAGCCAAGUCGCGUGAAGGAAGAAGGAUCUAUGGUUCGUAAACUUCUUUUGCAGGGGAAUAAAGUGCAGGACGUGUCCUGUUUUGUAUGUACCCUGAGAAUAAGGAUCGGCUAACUCCGUGCCAGCAGCCGCGGUAAUACGGAGGAUCCGAGCGUUAUCCGGAUUUAUUGGGUUUAAAGGGUGCGUAGGUGGUUUGAUGAGUCAGCGGUGAAAGUUUGCAGCUUAACUGUAAAAAUGCCGUUGAAACUGUCGGACUUGAGUGUAAAUGAGGUAGGCGGAAUGCGUGGUGUAGCGGUGAAAUGCUUAGAUAUCACGAAGAACUCCGAUUG